rnacentral:rRNA from 1 species
CCUACGGGUGGCAGCAGUGGGGAAUAUUGCACAAUGGGGGAAACCCUGAUGCCGCGACGCCGCGUGAGUGAAGAAGUAUCUCGGUACGUAAAGCUCUAUCAGCAGGGCAGAAAAUGACGGUACCUGACUAAGAAGCCCCGGCUAACUACGUGCCAGCAGCCGCGGUACUCCGGAGGGGGCAAGCGUUAUCCGGAUUUACUGGGUGUAAAGGGAGCGUAGACGGCAGCACAAGUCGGGAGUGAAAUCCCGGGGCUUAACCCCGGAACUGCUUUGGAAACUGUGCGGCUGGAGUGCAGGAGGGGUAAGCGGAAUGCCUAGUGUAGCGGUGAAAUGCGUAGAUAUUAGGAGGAACACCGGUUGCGAAGGCGGCUUACUGGACUGUAACUGACGUUGAGGCUCGAAAGCGUGGGGAGCAAACAGGAUUAGAUACCCGAGUAGUC